AGGUCUUACCUGCCCAGUGACAGUAAGUUAAACGGCCGCGGUAUUUUAACCGUGCUAAGGUAGCGUAAUCACUUGUCUUUUAAAUGAAGACCCGUAUGAAUGGUGGAACGAGGGCUUAACUGUCUCCCUUUUCAGGUCAAUGAAAUUGAUCUGCCCGUGCAGAAGCGGACAUAAAAAUACAAGACGAGAAGACCCUUUGGAGCUUAAGACAUAAGGUCAACUACGUCAAUAAUUACUAUACGUGAAACAAAACAAAGUACUAACUGACUGAAGUCUUCGGUUGGGGCGACCACGGGGGAAAAUGAAGCCCCCAUGUGGAAUGGGCUAAAGCCUAAAACCACGAGGGACACCUCUAAGUCACAGAAUAUCUGACCAUAAGAUCCGGCACUUAAGCCGAUUAACGAACCAAGUUACCCCAGGGAUAACAGCGCAAUCCCCUCCAAGAGUCCAUAUCGACAAGGGGGUUUACGACCUCGAUGUUGGAUCAGGACAUCCUAAUGGUGCAGCCACUAUUAAGGGUUCGUUUGUUCAACGAUUAAAGU
rnacentral:rRNA from 1 species